rnacentral:lncRNA from 10 species
GAGGGCUGGCUGGGCGCAGUGGCUCACGCCUGUAAUCCCAGCACUUUGGGAGGCUGAGGCGGGCGGAUCACCUGCGGUCAGGAGUUCGAGACCAGCCUGGCCAACAUGAUGAAACCCUGUCUCUACUAAAAAUACAAAAAAAUUAGCCAGGCAUGGUGGCAGGUGCCUGUAAUCCCAGCUACUCGGGAGGCUGAGGCAGGAGAAUGGCUUGAAUCCU